UUGAACGCUGGCGGCAUGCCUUACACAUGCAAGUCGAACGGUAGAGGGGCAACCCUUGAGAGUGGCGAACGGGUGAGUAAUAUAUCGGAACGUGCCCAGUCGUGGGGGAUAACGCAGCGAAAGCUGCGCUAAUACCGCAUACGAUCUAUGGAUGAAAGCGGGGGAUCGCAAGACCUCGCGCGAUUGGAGCGGCCGAUAUCAGAUUAGGUAGUUGGUGGGGUAAAGCCCACCAAGCCGACGAUCUGUAGCUG
rnacentral:rRNA from 1 species